rnacentral:lncRNA from 10 species
GCGGAGGGCUCUGCGGCACACGCAGGACCAGGGACAAAACGAGCCCUAGGACACGAAGAGGACGCUGGCCUGUAGCUCCGCAGUGACGGUGACCCCAGGCUGUCCUGCAGGACCAGGGACAAAACGAGCCCUAGGACACGAAGAGGACGCUGGCCUGUAGCUCCGCAGUGACGGUGACCCCAGGCUGUCCUGCAGGACCAGGAACAAAACGAGCCCUAGGACACGAAGAGGACGCUGGCCUGUAGCUCUGCAGUGAUGGUCACCCCAGCUUGUCCACGCUGACUUCUCACCUUUCCCAGGACGGUUGGCGCCUUUCAUUCUCUGGGGCGAAAACAGUCAGGACAUUCAUCCAACACUGAGCCGUGUCUCUUCCAGCAGCGAUGGCCAAGGCAUAGCCUUUGCUAUUCAGGGACUGAAAGCAGGGAACUUCCACUGUGUGACAACAUUACAAAUUUAAACUCUGUACUUAAAAAAAGAAAGCCAGCUGGGCGUGGUGGCUCACGCCUGUAAUCCCAGCACUUUGGGAGGCCGAGGCAGGUGAAUCACGAGGUCAGGAGAUUGAAACCAGCCUGACCAACAUGGUGAAACUCUGUCUCUACUACAAAUAGAAAAAUUAGCUGGGUGUGGUGCUGCGUGCCUGUAAUUCCAGCUACCCAGGAGGCUGAGGCAAGAGAAUCUCUUGAACCCAGGAGGCGGAGAUUGCAGUGAGCUGAGAUCAUGCCACUGCACUCCAGCCUGGGCAACAGAGCGAGACCCC